rnacentral:rRNA from 1 species
GAUGAACGCUGGCGGCGUGCCUAAUACAUGCAAGUCGAGCGAACGGACGAGAAGCUUGCUUUUCUGAUGUUAGCGGCGGACGGGAGAGUAACACGUGGAUAACCUACCUAUAAGACUGGGAUAACUUCGGGAAACCGGAGCUAAUACCGGAUAAUAUUUUGAACCGCAUGGUUCAAAAGUGAAAGACGGUCUUGCUGUCACUUAUAGAUGGAUCCGCGCUGCAUUAGCUAGUUGGUAAGGUAACGGCUUACCAAGGCAACGAUGCAUAGCCGACCUGAGAGGGUGAUCGGCCACACUGUAACUGAGACACGGUCCAGACUCCUACGGUAGGCAGCAGUAGGGAAUCUUCCGCGAUGGGCGAAAGCCUGACGGAGCAACGCCGCGGGAGUGAUGAAGGUGUUCGGAUCGUAAAACUCUGUUAUUAGGGAAGAACAUAUGUGUAAGUAACUGUGCACAUCUUGACGGUACCGAAUCAGAAAGCCACGGCUAACUACGUG